CUGUUGGGAGAAAAUAAUAAUAAAAACUCCAACUCCAGGCAGAACCGGUGAGAUUAAUGAAGCCCAGCAUGGAGUGCUGAGUAAAAGAGUGUAAUUCAUUCAAUCCAAGAGAUCAGCAUCUUCAGGAAUCAGCAGUGAGUCCAUGAGCUGUGUGUCCAUACGCUAAUAUUCAAAAAUGGAGAGCCGUGAUCUGGACACAGAUAAUGUGACCCCACCCUCAGAAAAGUGUAAACUCCAGAUAAAGAAAUCAGACUCACCAGAACCCAGCUGUGUCUCCAUGAAGAGUGAUCGGUCUAUGGAGUUU